rnacentral:rRNA from 1 species
AGAGUUUGAUCCUGGCUCAGAUUGAACGCUGGCGGCAGGCCUAACACAUGCAAGUCGAGCGGUAACAGGGAUAGCUUGCUAUCUGCUGACGAGCGGCGGUGUGCGUAACACGUAGGAAUCUGCCCGGUAGUGGGGGAUAGCCCGAAGAAAUUCGGACUAAUACCGCAUACGCCUUACGAGGGAAAGCAGGGGAAUCUUCGGAUCCUUGCGCUAUCGGAUGAGCCUGCGUCGGAUUAGCUAGUUGGUGGGGUAAAGGCUUACCAAGGCGACGAUCCGUAGCUGGUCUGAGAGGAUGAUCACCCACACUGGGACUGAGACACGGCCCAAACUCCUACGGGAGGCAGCAGUGGGGAAUAUUGCACAAUGGGCGCAAGCCUGAUGCACCCAUGCCGCGUGUGUGAAGAAGGCCUUAGGGUUGUAAAGCACUUUCAGCGAGGAGGAAAGGUGGUAAGUUAAUACCCUGCCACUGUGACGUUACUCGCAGAAGAAGCACCGGCUAACUCCGUGCCAGCAGCCGCGGUAAUACGGAGGGUGCAAGCGUUAAUCGGAAUUACUGGGCGUAAAGCGUGCGUAGGCGGCUGCCUAAGUUGGAUGUGAAAGCCCCGGGCUCAACCUGGGAACUGCAUCCAAAACUGGGCAGCUAGAGUGCGGAAGAGGAGUGUGGAAUUUCCUGUGUAGCGGUGA